UACGGAAGGCAGCACUGGGGAAUAUUGCACAAUGGGCGAAAGCCUGAUGCAGCUAUGCCGCGUGUAUGAAGAAGGCCUUAGGGUUGUAAAGUACUUUCAUCGGGGAGGAAAAACAAAACUAAUAAUUUUAUUUCUUGACGUUACCCGAAAAAGAAGCACCGGCUAACUCCGUGCCAGCAGCCGCGGUAAUACGGAGGGUGCUAGCGUUAAUCAGAAUUACUGGGCGUAAAGAGCACGUAGGUGGUUUUUUUAAGUCAGAUGUGAAAUCCCUGGGCUUAACCUGGAACUGCAUUUUGAAACUGAAAUACUAGAGUAUCGUAGAGGGAGGUAGAAUUCUAGGUGUAGCGGUGAAAUGCGUAGAUAUCUGGAGGAAUACCUGUGGCGAAAGCGGCCUCCUAAACGAAUACUGACACUGAGGUGCGAAAGCGUGGGGAGCAAACAGGGAUUAGAUAC
rnacentral:rRNA from 1 species